AUUGAACGCUGGCGGCAUGCCUUACACAUGCCGGUCGAACGGCAGCACGGGGGCAACCCUGGUGGCGAGUGGCGAACGGGUGAGUAAUACAUCGGAACGUGUCCUGUAGUGGGGGAUAGCCCGGCGAAAGCCGGAUUAAUACCGCAUACGCUCUACGGAGGAAAGGGGGGGAUCUUAGGACCUCCCGCUACAGGGGCGGCCGAUGGCAGAUUAGCUAGUUGGUGGGGUAAAGGCCUACCAAGGCGACGAUCUGUAGCUGGUCUGAGAGGACGACCAGCCACACUGGGACUGAGACACGGCCCAGACUCCUACGGGAGGCAGCAGUGGGGAAUUUUGGACAAUGGGGGCAACCCUGAUCCAGCAAUGCCGCGUGUGUGAAGAAGGCCUUCGGGUUGUAAAGCACUUUUGUCCGGAAAGAAAACGCCGUGGUUAAUACCCGUGGCGGAUGACGGUACCGGAAGAAUAAGCACCGGCUAACUACGUG
rnacentral:rRNA from 1 species